GAUGAACGCUGGCGGCGUGCCUAAUACAUGCAAGUCGAGCGAACGGACGAGAAGCUUGCUUCUCUGAUGUUAGCGGCGGACGGGUGAGUAACACGUGGAUAACCUACCUAUAAGACUGGGAUAACUUCGGGACACCGGAGCUAAUACCGGAUAAUAUUUUGAACCGCAUGGUUCAAAAGUGAAAGACGGUCUUGCUGUCUCUACUCGAUGGAUCCGCGCUGCAUUAGCUAGUUGGUAAGGUAACGGCCUAUCAAGGGAACGAGGCAUGACCGAAGUGAGAGAGUGAUCGCCCACACUGGAGCGUAGACACGGACCAGAGUACUACGGGAGGCAGCAGUAGGGAAUCGUCCGCAAUGGGCGAAAGCCUGACGGAGCAACGGCGCGUGAGUGAUGAAGGCCUUCGGAGCGUAAAACUGUGUUUCUAGGGAAGAACAGAUGUGUAAGUAACCGAGCAGAUAUUGACGGUACCGAAUCAGAAAGCCACGGCUAACUACGUG
rnacentral:rRNA from 1 species